rnacentral:lncRNA from 1 species
UGGUCUCUAAAUUUAAUUACUUACAUUACAUUCACCUUCAAACUGAAAAAAAAAAAAAGCAGCAGUUUACAAGCCAAGAGCUCCAAGGGGUGUCUUCCCUUGGCCAGCCUCAAAGUAGAAGAUUAGCAUAGCCAACAUGGCAAUCCUUGCAUGCUUAAUCUCCGCUAGUUUCAGUCUCUCGAGCUUUUCCACAUCUGGGAUGUACACUCCAUCUUUGAUUGUGCCAGCGAGUGACAGUGGGUCGAAGAAUUUCCCUCCCGGGUAGCCCUGCUCCCCGGUGGCGUUGGCAAAGUUCUCAGCCGUCCUCGACCACGGGGUGGCCCAUUCCACGGACUGUGACUCCGGGUUGAAGAAAUCCACCCACCUCUUGCUCUCAACCCACCCCAUGAGCAGGAGUUGGGUUCCAAGGAGGGUCCCGAAAGAGAACGGUGCAACGGCGCCAGGGGCUGCUCCGGCUUCGAACCAUGGGAUGCCGCUCCAGGCUUGGCCGACGAAGAUUCCCACAACUGCUGCCAUGGCCCAUCGCCCGUGGAUCAGCUCGGCUUCCCUGUACCACUUGAGGAAUGCUGGGUCCUUGCCUAGUCCGAGUGGAUCAAAGCCAUAGUCACCGGGAAGCCUGCAGAUUUACACACAUAUUUCAAUUUAACUAAAAAGCUGAAGGUUGAAGCUGUUAAAUAAUUAGUCCAUUGAAACAUUUAUGUAAUGAGCCAACAAUGAGUAGAGAGUAUAAUGAGAGACUUACGAGCCAUCGAGCCACUCAGGGUCGACGAGGUUGCCACCAGCUUUAACACCAGGAAGCCACGACUUCUUAGGGGCAGCAGCGACGACAAUGAGCCUCCUGGGGGCAGGCACAGCAGCACCAGCUUUGGCUGCAACCCCGGCAGACAACAAGCUCUGGCUCCUCUUGCCUCCAGUCAAGAACGGAGAGCCCAGCCCAUUCAACACAGCAGCAGAAGUUGCAGCCAUCUCUACAACCUUGUGUUAUAUCUCUCUAGAGAUGGAAAAUGGGGAAACGGGGAGAAGUGGACAGAGG